rnacentral:rRNA from 1 species
UACAGAGGGGGCAAGCGUUGUUCGGAAUUACUGGGCGUAAAGGGCGCGUAGGCGGCCUGUUAAGUCGGACGUGAAAUCCCCGGGCUCAACCCGGGAACUGCGUCCGAUACUGGCAGGCUUGAAUCCGGGAGAGGGAUGUGGAAUUCUAGGUGUAGCGGUGAAAUGCGUAGAUAUCGGGAAGAACACCCGUGGCGAAGGCGGCGCGCUGGGACGGUACUGACGCUGAGACGCGAAAGCGUGGGGAGCGAACAGG